ACAAGCGGUGGAGCGAUGUGGUUUAAUUCGAAGCAACGCGAAGAACCUUACCAGGUCUUGACAUCCCGAUGCUAUUUCUAGAGAUAGAAAGUUACUUCGGUACAUCGGUGACAGGUGGUGGCAUGGUUGUCGUCAGCUCGUGUCGUGAGAUGUUGGGUUAAGUCCCGCAACGAGCGCAACCCCUAUUGUUAGUUGCCAUCAUUCAGUUGGGGACUCUAGAGAGACUGCCGGUGAUAAACCGGAGGAAGGUGGGGGAUGACGUCAAAUCAUCAUGCCCCUUAUGGCCUGGGCUACAAACGUAAUACAAUGGCGUAUACAAAGGGAUGCGAAAGGGCGACCUGGAGCAAAACUCACAAAGUACGUCUCAGUUCAGAUUGGAGUCUGCAACUCGACUCCAUGAAGGCGGAAUCGCUAGUAAUCGCGGAUCAGCAUGCCGCGGUGAAUACGUUCUCGGGGUUU
rnacentral:rRNA from 1 species